CCAUUCCUACCUACGCUACUCUUACUUCGCCAAUGUCUUAGGGAUCUACCGGAGAGCCCAGUUUGAGAGAACUGUGUAAUCAGGAAACAAAAUUUCCAAGAUCCACCAAGAUUUUCGCUGAUUCUCUACAUUUAGCCAGAGAAGUGAUCCUAAUCCUCGAGAGUACAGUCUGAGAAUUUGCCCUGCCUCCUUUGUGC
rnacentral:lncRNA from 1 species